GACCACGUAGCUCAGUUGGCAGAGCAUUGGACUAGUAUCCCAAAGGUCGCGGGUUCGACUCCCACCAUGGCCA